rnacentral:rRNA from 1 species
CAGUCGCCGCGGGAAAACGGAGGGUGCAAGCGUUAUCCGGAUUUAUUGGGUUUAAAGGGUCCGUAGGCGGAUCUGUAAGUCAGUGGUGAAAUCUCACAGCUUAACUGUGAAACUGCCAUUGAUACUGCAGGUCUUGAGUAAAUUUGAAGUGGCUGGAAUAAGUAGUGUAGCGGUGAAAUGCAUAGAUAUUACUUAGAACACCAAUUGCGAAGGCAGGUCACUAAGAUUUAACUGACGCUGAUGGACGAAAGCGUGGGGAGCGAACAGGAUUAGAUACCCCUGUAGUCCCUGUCUCUUAUAA